rnacentral:tmRNA from 1 species
GGGGCUGACUGGUUUUGACAGCAAGAUCAAUGGAUAAGUAAGCAUGUCGAGCCAUGUAAUACAAUCUCGUAAAACUUGUAUUACAAAAUUAUAACUGGCAACGAAGAAUACGCUUUAGCUGCUUAAUAUAACUGAAUCAUAGUAGGUUGAAGCAUUUUUUCUACAAGGUAGAAAAGCUAAAUGUCUCUCAAAAGCCUUUCUCUGCGGCGUUUGGUAUAGAGGUACAGGAAUGUAGAGAUAGAAUAAAGUAAGCAUCGGACUUUAUUCAAAAUUUAAGAUGAUAAGCUGUAAAUAGGAUGCAGGUCUUCAGUUUACAGUCGAAAAUUAAGGAUCUGAUAAGCAUGUAGAAAGCUUAUGUAUUGCUUGUUUGGACGAGGGUUCGAAUCCCUCCAGCUCCACAA